AUUGAACGCUAGCGGGAUGCCUUACACAUGCAAGUCGAACGGCGUGGCGAACGGGUGAGUAAUGUAUCGGAACGUGCCCAGUAGCGGGGGAUAACUACGCGAAAGCGUAGCUAAUACCGCAUACUAUUGGAGCGGCCGAUAUCGGAUUCGCUAGUUGGUGGGGUAACGGCUCACCAAGGCGACGAUCCGUAGCUGGUUUGAGAGGACGACCAGCCACACUGGGAGUGAGAAACGGCCCAGACUCCUACGGGAGGCAGCAGUGGGGAAGUUUGGACAAUGGGGGAAACCCUGCUCCAGCAGUCCCGAGUGUUCGAUGAAGGCCUUCGGGUUGUAAAGCACUUUUGGCAGGAAAGCGGUACCUGCAGAAUAAGCAACGGCUAACUACGUGCCAGCAGCCGCGGUAAUUC
rnacentral:rRNA from 1 species